rnacentral:rRNA from 1 species
AGAGUUUGAUCCUGGCUCAGGAUGAACGCUAGCGACAGGCCUAACACAUGCAAGUCGAGGGGCAGCAUUUCUAGCUUGCUAGAAGAUGGCGACCGGCGCACGGGUGAGUAACGCGUAUGCAACCUACCUUACAUUGGGGGAUAGCCCAGAGAAAUCUGGAUUAAUACCGCAUAAUAUAUUUGAAUCGCAUGGUUUAAAUAUUAAAACUCCGGUGAUGUAAGAUGGGCAUGCGUAGCAUUAGUUAGUUGGUGAGGUAACGGCUCACCAAGACGAUGAUGCUUAGGGGGUCUGAGAGGAUAGUCCCCCACACUGGUACUGAGACACGGACCAGACUCCUACGGGAGGCAGCAGUGAGGAAUAUUGGUCAAUGGGCGCAAGCCUGAACCAGCCAUGUCGCGUGCAGGAUGACGGCCCUAUGGGUUGUAAACUGCUUUUUUACAGGAAUAAUUGUCGCUACGUGUAGUGAUUUGAAUGUACUGUAUGAAUAAGGAUCGGCUAACUCCGUGCCAGCAGCCGCGGUAAUACGGAGGAUUCGAGCGUUAUCCGGAUUUAUUGGGUUUAAAAGUUAGAGCUCAACUCUGGAACUGCUCAUUGAAGCUGAAGAACUUGAAUAUGGUUGAGGUAGGCGGAAUACGUUAUGUAGCGGUGAAAUGCAUAGAUAUAACGUAGAACACAUGCGAGCAGCUACUAGUCAUAUUGACGCUGAUGACGAAGCGUGGGAGCGAACAGAUAGAUACNUGUAGUNCACGCGUAAACGAUGAUACUCGUUGUGCACAAUACAUCGUGCGUGACUGAGCGAAAGCAUUAAGUAAUCCACCUGGGGAGUACGUUCGCAAGAAUGAAACUCAAAGGAAUUGACGGGGGCCCGCACAAGCGGAGGAACAUGUGGUUUAAUUCGAUGAUACGCGAGGAACCUUACCUGGACUUAAAUGUAGAUUGACCCACUUAGAAAUAGGUGUUCUCUUCGGAGCAAUUUACAAGGUGCUGCAUGGUUGUCGUCAGCUCGUGCCGUGAGGUGUCGGGUUAAGUCCCAUAACGAGCGCAACCCCUAUCGUUAGUUGCUAGCAGGUAAUGCUGAGGACUCUAGCGAGACUGCCACCGUAAGGUGAGAGGAAGGUGGGGAUGACGUCAAAUCAGCACGGCCCUUACGUCCAGGGCUACACACGUGUUACAAUGGCCAGUACAAAGGGCAGCUACCUGGUGACAGGAUGCUAAUCUCAAAAGCUGGUCUCAGUUCGGAUCGGAGUCUGCAACUCGACUCCGUGAAGUUGGAUUCGCUAGUAAUCGUAUAUCAGCAAUGAUACGGUGAAUACGUUCCCGGGCCUUGUACACACCGCCCGUCAAGCCAUGGAAGCCGAGGGUGCCUGAAGUACGUUACCGCAAGGAGCGUCCUAGGGUAAAAUUGGUAACUGGGNCUAAGUCGUAACAAGGUAACC